rnacentral:miRNA from 1 species
UAAGGUGAUCAAUCAUCCUGGUUUGCCAGGGUCUGUCCAGGUUUCAGCACUGAAAGUUCCAUUCCAGAAAAUUUCUCAGUAGUGGGCAAACUGGGAAGGCUGGUCACCAUAGUUCUAG